rnacentral:rRNA from 1 species
AUUGAACGCUGGCGGCAGGCCUAACACAUGCAAGUCGAGCGGAUGAAGGGAGCUUGCUCCUGGAUUCAGCGGCGGACGGGUGAGUAAUGCCUAGGAAUCUGCCUGGUAGUGGGGGAUAACGUCCGGAAACGGGCGCUAAUACCGCAUACGUCCUGAGGGAGAAAGUGGGGGAUCUUCGGACCUCACGCUAUCAGAUGAGCCUAGGUCGGAUUAGCUAGUUGGUGGGGUAAAGGCCUACCAAGGCGACGAUCCGUAACUGGUCUGAGAGGAUGAUCAGUCACACUUGGACUUAGACAACGUUCCGAACUCUAAGGGAGGCCACAGGGGGGAAUAUUGGGCAAAGGGCGGAAGCCUGAUCCAGCCCUGCCGGGGGUGUGAAGAAGGUCUUCGGAUUGUAAAGCACUUUAAGUUGGGAGGAAGGGCAGUAAGUUAAUACCUUGCUGUUUUGACGUUACCAACAGAAUAAGCACCGGCUAACUUCGUG